rnacentral:siRNA from 1 species
AGUGACUAGACAAGGGAAACGACU